rnacentral:other from 1 species
CGGGCUCUGCGCGGUUCGUCAGGAGUCGCAUUCCCCGGGGCCUUAUUGAUCCCAUGGGAGCUGUCCCUAUCCGGGUCCGUGGACUUGGAUACAUGGCGCCCACCUACGCUGUAGGUUCCCGGGAUCAUUCUCCAACGGCCAUCGUGGACCCGCA